rnacentral:rRNA from 1 species
GUGGGGAAUAUUGCACAAUGGGGGGAACCCUGAUGCAGCGACGCCGCGUGAAGGAAGAAGUAUUUCGGUAUGUAAACUUCUAUCAGCAGGGAAGAAAAUGACGGUACCUGACUAAGAAGCCCCGGCUAACUACGUGCCAGCAGCCGCGGUAAUACGUAGGGGGCAAGCGUUAUCCGGAUUUACUGGGUGUAAAGGGAGCGUAGGCGGCGAUGCAAGUCAGAAGUGAAAGCCCGCAGCUCAACUGCGGGACUGCUUUUGAAACUGUAUUGCUAGAUUGCAGGAGAGGUAAGUGGAAUUCCUAGUGUAGCGGUGAAAUGCGUAGAUAUUAGGAGGAACACCAGUGGCGAAGGCGGCUUACUGGACUGUAAAUGACGCUGAGGCUCGAAAGCGUGGGGAGCAAACAGGA